CAACACUUUCCACGAGGAAAGAGACCCUCUCUGCUGUGUGCAGUGUUCGCGUUGGUGAUCUUGUCCCUCGUUUUUCUCUUUCCUUUACUUAUUUUUUGAAGAUAUGGAUUUUCAUGAGAAGGCUCUCAAGGGAUUUUGCUAGAAAACUCCAUUCGUCCUCUCUCAAUCUGAAGCACGGAGGUCAGACACAAUGCCUGCGGUUCACUGAAUGAUAGCUACGUGCCAAGGGCCCCACGUGUAGGAAAUCAUUUGCUCCUCACUGCAGCACAGAGAGAAAACCAGUGCCUGAUGGAAAUGUAAGUCACUCAUCCGAGACUGCAUAGCUAGGGACUGAUGGAGGCUGCAAUUUGAAUCCGAGAGAUGUGUAACCACUGUGCCAUCAGGAGGAGGAAGCAUGGCCCGAAGCAGCAGGAAGAGCUCCAGGAGCUCCCAGAACGCCUGGGAUCCAGUCUCAACUCUGCCAUGAAGGACCUGAAGCAACCAGUGGUGACGGCUGUACCUGUCUGCUUAGGCUGCCACCGCCAAGUACCACCAACUGGGUGGUUUACACUACAGAAAUGUGUGACCUCACAGUUCUAGAGUCUGGAAGUUCAAGAUUAAGGUGUCAGGGGGGUUGAUUUCUUCUGAGGCCUCUGUCCUUGGCUGGUGGAUGGGCGUCUUCCCCUGUAUCUCCGCGUGGUCUGCUCCUCUGCACGCACACUCCUCCUCUAAGGACACCAGUCAUCCUGGAUUACCCCCCAAUGACCUCAUUGAACCUAAUUACCUCUAAACAGACUUGUACCCAGGUACUGGGUUAGGACCACAACAUAGGAAUUUGGAGGGACAUAGUUCCACCAAUAACACGGGCUAAAAUCGAGGCAGCCACAGGGCUUAUGGAGACUCUCCAGUAGUGUGUUCCCUGGCCUUUUUCAGCAUCUAGUUGUCCCUACAUGCUUUGGCUUGUGACCCCCCUUUUCAUCCUCAAAGCAUGUCAUUUUAAUCACUGUUUGUAUCAUCGCCUCACCUUUCUCACCCUGACGCUGCUGCCUCCCUCUUAUAAGGACUCCUGGGAUUUAACCAGGCCCAGACCCAUCGAGGUAAUCAGGAUAAUCUCAUAUCAAAAUCUUCAGGUAAGUACAUGGCAAAGCCCCUUUGAUCAUAGAAGGUAACCUAGUCACAAGUUCUGGGGAUGUGGGCGGACACAAUUCAGCCCAGAGUCACCACUUUCUGCUUCUAGGCAGAAGUUGGUAAAUCCAUAAAACAUGAAAACCGUGAAAUAGCAGACGCCUCCUUGAUCAUCAUGCAGGGCUCUUGUAAGGAUCAAAUAGCAUAAUCAGUAGAAAAUGCUUGGGCUUGUCAAGACCACCAUAAAUGUAAGGCAAUUGCAGGUGUUUAUAUUGUUCGCUUUGUAACCCCCUCAAGCUGUCUGAUACCUGGUAGUGUGAGACCCACACGUAUUAGAAAGAUAGUAGUUAGUAAACUGGAUGCAUCUGCUGUCAUUUCUUUAUUUAGUCUCUGAACCCUCAAAACAAUGCAGCAAAAGCAGUGUAGUUAGUCCAUAAAAGCUUGUCAUUUUGGCUCCUGUACACUUUAGUGGCCAAAGACUUCAUUUCUGUUCAUUUUUAAACAGCAGGCACUCUUGGCCAUGGAGCUCAGGUCCUCCCAACAAGCCCAGCACUUUCGGGAAAGAAACAGUCGUGGUGGCUGAAGAACGACAGGGUGGGCCCCCUGCAUUUUAUGUAGAACGUUUUAUGCUUAAGUGACCAGUUGACACUCUUGUGGUAUAAUUAAUGCUGGUUUGCUCUUCUAUCACUGCAUAACAAACUACCCCAGUACCUAGUGACUUAAAAGAAUAAUUGUUUAAUUAUAUUGCAUGUUUUUUUGUUUUUUUUUUUGUGAGUCAAGCCUCCCUUGUGGGAUGAAACAGACCGGUUCUGUGGCGUCCACUGGUCUCCCUGGGCAGUAUUCAGCUGGAGGUUGGCCUGCUGAGCAGAUGGAGGAUGGCUUGGUUCUCCUGCCUGGGACCUGGCCUGGGCCCAUGGGGAGGCCAGCCUCAGUUGCGGGCCCUCUCCGCCUCCAGGCAAUCUCAGAGGAUUUCCUAGAGUCCCUCAACAAUGUAGGUGGACUUCUUACCCAAUGGCUCAGGGCUCCUGGAGAGAGUGUCGGAGCACAGGGAGCGUAUAUUCCCAGUCUACCAGGCCGGCUCCACCAUGUUCUUUUGGUCAAAGCAGUACCCAGGGCCAUCCAGAUGUGAUGGGUGAGCAUACAUGCCCCGCUCUUGUUGGGAGUAGUGUCCAAAAAUCUGCAGUUGUCUUUAAUCUGCCACCAGCGCUGACAAAUGUGUGUUCCUCUUCUGUACGCAUGAGAGAGAAGAAGCAGACUGAAAGGGAAAUAAUACUGUCAUAGACAAAGCAGUUAAAUACUUUCUUUUUCCAGCCUAGCGGACAAGCGAAGUGAAUAGAGGUAGGACAUAAAUGGAGACAUGAAGGGGAAGGGAGAAAAGCCAUCGGGUGGGUAGCACGGUGACCACAAAGAGCCAGCAGCUCAGAGCUAGCACACAUGGGUCAGCUGACCAGGAAGCUGGGCUGUCUGUGAGGGCACCCCUGGUCCUGGCACGGGCGGCAGGAAUGUCCGUCCCUCUUGUCAUUCAUUCAGCUUAACAUUUUCUGAGCAUCUACUAUAAACAAAACACUGAGCAGGUCAUUAAGGACAUAAAGAUCAGUCAGACAUGCUCUGCCUUCCAAAAGCUUCAAAUCCUCCAGAGAAGACAGACAUGGCAAUUGUAAAACACAGUGUGACACAGAAUGUGGAAGAAUUCUAUCUUCACUGAUAACCUUGAGUUGGCAAACAUUCUACCACCCAUGUUUAUUUUGAGAAUGCAAAUAAAUGAUUGCAAAGACCAAUUUUACAUCUAUUUAAUUCCCCAUACAACUGCUACUUAAAAGAUGUCCAUCCGCAGGAGUCUCCUCAAUAUUCUAGAAAUCUUAACUAUCAGAAAUUCCUUAACGGCAGUGGAUAUUAGUGGUUUUCAGCAGUUUUAAGACUUGCUGUCAAGUGUGAUGGAGGUCCCACGAGGUCCCUGACCCUGUGCUUGGAGUUUGCGUUACAUGGACAAACUGGUACCAGUGCUGGAGAACUUUCCAGCCCAUUUGGUGAGAGAAGCAAAUAAACUGCUCACCUCUCUGUCAUGUCUAUUCCAUUCAGCCACCGAGAGUCUGCUGUGGGCCAGAUACCAUCUGGGCAGCAACAGACGAAGAAUACUAAGCACCUCCUCUCAUGGAACCUACAUUCCCAUGGGGAGAAUGACAAUAAAGAACUAAAUAAAUGGGUAAAUAUUAUAAAUGCAGAGAACUGUAAAUGAUACAGACCCCCCCAAAAAAAAAAAUGAUACAAGGUGGCUCGGGCAGAGGAGGGUGAGUGAAGGGGUCGAUUCCAGAUGAGGUGUCACUAUUUUUCAACUCCUUGGGUCAUUAAAACACAACACAUGCUUAGCCUAUGCCUGGAAUACAUCUUAUACUUAAUAUUCCAACAUGUAACCAUCACCGUAGCCUGCCCAUACUGAAGUCACUUGUUUUCUUACCUCUUAACAGAGGAAAACACCAUGAGGGCACAGACCAUGACUCAUCAGCUACUAAAUAAUGAAUAGUUGGUGAAGUGUUGCAGCCAGCACCCCAGGAAUGUCUAAAGUGCCUAAGAAUGACAAGAAAGGAAGGGACAAGAAUAGAUGCCCCAAAUCUUUUCAUCUCGGACUUUUCAUGGACACUUGGAGGAUGCAGCAGGAGGGGAGCCCACAUGGAGAGCAAUUAAGUUUUGCUCCUAAUCUGGUUGCUGUUUUGUUUAUUUGCUGGCUUUGGAGAUGGGGGUAUUAAUUGAACAGCACACUUGUUAGCUUAAAAAUGCCAGGACUGACUUACACACUUGUGUAAGUAAUUAACUCCCCAGAAACCAACCUGAGACUUCAGUUGGCAAGAACUUAGUACUACUUGGCUUAGUCAGUUUGGUAAAUAAAUUUAAAUAGCAAAGUAUUACUUGUGCUGGGAGGAAGAGAGACAGAGACAAAUAGAGAUAGAGAUGGAAACAGAGGAAUUUGCUUGGAGAAAGAGAGGCAGAGCUGCAUGUUCAAGUCCUAGACCAACCAAGAGAAAUAACCAACCUGUGUCAACCAUAUACCAUGUAGGAGUCUGUAAUAGCUGAUUUAUGAACAUGAUUCCAUUAAAUUCUUUUGACAACCCUGAAGGGCAGGUGCCUAUUAUCAGAGGGGUGAAGUAACUUGCUCAAUGUCACAGAGCUAGUGAAUGACAGAACUUCCACUUGAAUCUGGAGCUAUUUCACUAGGAAAUCUCUGACUAGAAAGUUUUAUUAUUAGCAGCAUCAUCAUCAUCAUAGCUAAAACUGUUUAGGUAUCUCAGUGCCAGUCAUUUGACUGCACUCCAAUUCUUUGAAAACUAGCCAUCCAAGGGUACCCAAAUGGCUUUCCCUGAUAAAAAAAAAAAAAGCCACCCUAAAACUAAGUAGUUUAAAACAAGAACUUUUAUUCAUCGUAUUAUUCUGUGGGUCAGCCGAUGGUUUGUCAUGUCUGUGAUAGCUGAGCCGACCUACCCUGGGUGCUCUCCUGCGCCUUGGUCAGCUGGCAGGUGGGAGCAUCUGAGCCUUCUUUUCAGCCACUUGGCAUUCAGCAGAAUGGCUUGGGCCACUCCCAUGAUGGUCAGAGUCUCUAGGGCAGCAGGAGAGGGGAGGCCUCCGUGGCUAAGCACCCUUAAGUCUGCCUGUGUCACACUCACUGUAAUCUACUAGCCAGAGCAGAUCACGUGGGAAACCCAGUGUCUGGGGGGAAAAUUGCAUGGUUUCAAGAAAGCCAUUAUUUUGUGGUCAUUUUUUCAUACAAUCUAAAACAUCAUUUUGGCAAAUUCUGUUCACUUAUUCAUUUACUCGACCACCUUCAAUGUCAAUGAGUACUGUUGUGCCAAACCUCACCCUGAACUGGAAAGAUGAAACAGACUUUGAUCUAGGGUUUCUGAGCUAACAGGAAAAGGACACAGAAAUUCUGACAAAAGUAGUAUUAAGUAUCAUGUGAAGGGGAUUAAAAAAAUAGUCAGGUGGUCUGGAGAUCUAAGAAGUUACAACAAAUAAAACAAGUUAGAGUUCCAUGAAGGAGGGAUGUUUAGUCAGGACCUUGAAGAAUACAUGCUGAGAAUGGUACAUGCUCAGGUGUCUGCGAGAAGCUAUGAUAUGGUGAGAGGCUGACCAGCUACUUGACUGAGAGUCAUGGCUUUCCACACUCGCAUAACCUUGUUUGCACUCCGCAAGUGUAGGGAGCUCUCUCUUUUAUAGAAAUGUCUUCAGCUCCAACCUCUUGGUAUAGGGGGUGGUUUCCAGGAAAUAAAUUGGUUGGAAAGAGGACCCGAAAAGGAGUACAAUGUUUUAAGGAAACCAUGUCCGGAGGACACACCUGAGCAAGGUGUGUGAGCCAGGCAAGUGUUGAUUCCAGGAAGGAAGAGAUAAACAUUGUCAGGAAGGGGAUGCCUGGGGGGCUGGAGUGGGGAGAGCAAGAGUCAUGGCCACUCUCGGGUCGCUGAGGCAUCACAGUGGUGGUGCCAUCGACAAAAUAAGAAAGAGAGGCACAAAGCUUGGUUUGAAAUUUGUUGAGCUUGAGGUCUCUGUGCCACAUGUAGGAGGCAAGGUUUAGUCUGAUGCUGGGUGUUUGGAUCUGGACCUUGGAAGAAAUUUCAAAGCUGGAAAGGAAAUCAUUAACAAGGGGAUAGGUGGUGAAAUCAUGGGUACGAAUGAGAUCAGCAGAAAAGAAUUUACCGAAAAAA
rnacentral:lncRNA from 1 species